UAUGGCCAAACAGUUCUAUUUUUGUUUCAUCGGGCCAGAGAACAUUUCUCCAAAAAGUACAAUCUUUGUCCCCAUAUGCAGUUGCAAACCGUAGUCUGGCUUUUUUAUGGUGUUUUUGGAGCAGUAAAACCGUAGUCGGGCGGUUGUAUGGCAAUUCUGGAGCACAACCAGACUUGUGGAGGUCUACAAAACUUCUUCUGAGGUCUUGGCUGAUUUCUUUUGAUUUUCCCAUGAUGUCAAGCAAAGAGGCACUGAGUUUGAAGGUAGGCCUUGAAAUACAUCCACAGGUACACCUCCAAUUGAUUCAACUUCUGUCAAUUAGCCUAUUAGAAGCUUCUAAAGCCAUGACAUCAUUUUCUGGAAUUUUCCAAGCUGUUUAAAGGCACAGUCAACUUAGUGUAUGUGAACUUCUGACCCACUGGAAUUGUGAUACAGUGAAUUAUAAGUGACAUAAUCUGCCUGUAAACAAUUGUUGGAAAAAUGACUUGUGUCAUGCACAAAGUACAUGUCCUAACAAACUUGCCAAAACUAUAGUUUGUUAAGACAUUUGUGGAGUGGUUGUAAAACGAGUUUUAAUGACUCCAACCUGAGUGUAUGUAAACUUCCGACUUCAACUGUACAUAGUUUGAAAUCCCAUUGAUAUUGACAUUUCCCUGCAACAUUUCUGCCAAGUUAUAAUAAUAAUCACAAUUAUAAUUAUUGUAUAUAUACAUUUCCAUGGUACCACAUUGUAGCCCUCAAUAUGUAAUAGUUUGGCAUCAAGCAAAUUGCUGUACACUCCAAUUUCCACUCAGUAUUGUGCAAACAGAGGCCUUUUGAGUGGGUGCAGCAGGUACCAGUAACCUGAGAAGUAAAAUAUGUGCAAUACUGUAUAUAUAUAUAUAUAUAUGAACAAAUUCUAACUGUCCAUUCAAGGACAGGGAUUUUAUUUGUUUGACAUGGGUUGCAAAUUGAGAAUAUGUUCUAAAGUUAUAUUUAUAAAGCUUAUACCAAGCCAAUAUCCUUUGUAACACUGAAUGUGACAUGGCCUACAUUGAAGGUAGACAGUGAAAUGACGUUGCAACGAGCAGCAGCGCAGAUGUUGCGAUGAGACGCAAGACUUUGUUCACAUACAGUCACACACCGUAUCUGGGCGUGUGUAUGGGUUCGUACGGGACCGAAACUGCUGAGAAGUUUAGCCUCGCGCUUCAACGCUCUUAUUUGUUGCGGAAGUUGGCCCACUCUGUUGUUGACUUUGCAUCUAUGUCCUUUCGCUGAGUCUAUAGUACCUUUUUUAAGACUUUACUGACAUUACUGUUUUGUGUAUAAAUGAAUACACUACAUUUUUAAAGAUUUGAUUUGUAUUGUAUUAUACUGAAAGAAACACUAUGGACACUGAAUCUAUCAUGAAAUGAAUACAUACUAAAAAGAAACAACCAAAUGCCCUUGUAAAUCUAGAUUUUACAUGUACAGUGCCUUCAGAAAGUAUUCACACCCUUUUACUUUUGUGUAACUGAUCUACACACAAUACCCCAUAAUGUCAAUGUGGAAUUUGGUUUGUAGAACAUUUUAGAAAGGAAUAAAAAAUGAAAAGUCAAUAAGUAUUCAACCCCUUUGUUAAUGGCAAGCAUAGAUAAGUUCAGGAGUAAAAAUGUGCUUAACGAAUCACAUAAGUUGCAUGGACUCAUUCUGUGUGCAAUAAUAGUGUUUAACAUAAUUUUUGAAUGCUACCUCAUCUCUGUACCCCACACAUACAAUGAAUUAUAUGUAACUUCCCUCAGUCGAGUAGUGAAUUUCAAACACAGAUUCAACCACAAAGAUGUGGGAGGUUUUCCAAUGCCUCGCUAAUUACACUUUGGAUGGUGUAUCAAUACACUCGAAAGAUACAGCCGUCCUUCCUAACUCAGUUGCUGGAGAGGAAGGAAACUGCUAAGGGAUUUCACCAUGAAGCCAAUGGUGACUUUAAAAUGGCUGUGAUAGGAAAAACUAAGGAUGGAUCAACAAUGUAGUUACUCCCCAAUACUAGCCUAAUUAAGUGAAAGGAAACCAGUACAAAAAAAACUAUUCCAAAACAGGCAUCCUGUUUGUAAAAAGGCACUGAAGUAAUACUGCAAUAAAUGUGGCAAAGCAAUUCACUUUUUGUCCUGAAUACAAAGUGUCAUGUUUGGGGCAAAUCCAAUAAAGCACAUUAUUGAGUACCACCAUCCAUAUUUUCAAGCAUGGUGUUGGCCGAAUCAUGUUAUGGGUGUGCUUGUAAUUGUUAAGGACUGGGGAGUGUUUCUGGAUAAAAAAGAAACGGAAUGGAGCUAAGUACAGGCAAAAUCCUAGAGGAAAACCUGGUUCAGUCUGCUUUCCACCAGACACUGGGAGAUUAAUUCACCUUUCAGCAGGACAAUAACCUAAAACACAAGGCCAAAUUUACGCUGGAGUUGCUUACCAAGAAGACAGGGAAUGUUCCUUAGUUGCCGAGUUAGUUUAUUUACUUAGACAACCAAAAACAGUAGAUUUAACAAUGAAAAUUGUUGUCUAGCAAUGAACAACAACCAAUUUGACAGAGCUUGAAGAAUAUUGAAAAGAAUAAUGGAAAAAUGUUGCAAAAUCCAGGUGUGGAAAGCUCUUAGAGACUUAUCCAGAAAGACUCAAAGCUGUAAUCACUGCCAAAGGUGCUUCUACAAAGUAUUGACUCAGGGGUGUGAAUACUUAUGUAAUUGAGAUAUUUCUGUAUUUAAAUUCAAAUAAAUUAUUACAUUUUGAAUUCAGUCUUACACAAGAAAAUGUGGAAUAAUUUUAGGGGUAUGAAUACUUUCUGAAAGCACUGUAUAUGAUUCUCCAAGAGGUUUUGUAACUGCAUCCAAAAUAUGCAUGUCUAUUUUGCUAGAGACCAUUUGAGAUUACAAUACAUUAUGCAAAUUCAGAAUGAUGAAGCUCAAAUAGAGAUUUCCAUUGUUUCCCUUGUAUCUGAUGUGUGUAAAUAUAAUAUGUAAGGGAUAAUCCACGAGGGGCUAUGCGUUCUAUGAAAAAUAAUGAACAACGUGGAAGGCGUGUUCCACGAUGCGCUAGCGGAUUGGAAGUGACCUUCCACGGAGUUGCAUUAUUUUCCAGAGAAUGCAUAGAGCCCCGAGUUGAUUAUCCCUUUUAUACCAUGGCUAUAAUUUAACAUAUUUGCCACUAGAACUGUGUUAAUUUGCCUGUAGAAAUGUGUUCAACAUCCACUGAAGUAGCUAGCAAGUUUACUAGAUGGCUAGUUGCCAUGGUCACCAAACAGACUUGCUAGUUUAGCUAACCAAACCAAUCAGUCCUAGCUUGUUAUUAUGAAAAUCGAAUUCAACAAUACCAAUACUGUUUUCAAUUUGACUUUUGCUUUCAAAAGCAACUAAAAAAACAUGUAAAAAUUAGCUAUUGCCAUUGAAUUCUACUGCGCAUGUGUUAUUUAAGCAAUAAGUCAUGAGGGGGUGUGGUAUAUGGCCAAUAUACCGUGACUUGUGGAGUGCUUGGAUACAGCCCUUAGCUGUGGUAUAUUGGCCAUAUACCACAAACACCCGAGGUCCCUUAUUGCUAUAAUAAACUGGUUACAAACGUCAUUAAAAAAACAUUUUUGUCAUACCUGUGAUAUACCACGGCUGCCAGCCAAUCUGCAUUUAGGGCUCCAACCACCCAUUUUAAAGAGGCAAAUAAUGCCCACUCUAGGAUGCCCUUUGAGCCAAUCUUGAAGGACUAUUAAACAAAGCCAUGGUAUGUCAUCUACUUGUUAUGACAAAUCUUCAGUUAGUAGCUUUGUUUAGGUGAGGCGAUGGCGUAAUCGACAUUUCCUGCUUUGCAUUUUACACUGUUGACUAUUCUCUGUUUACUACCAGUGUAAAUAUUGGAUUCAGUCGUUUUGAAGUGUCCAGUAUAUGUUUCUAAUGGUAGUGUUAACCUAACUCAUUAUUAAUCUAAUUGAGAAACAGUGACCACUUGGGAAUUCAAUCCACAUCCUCCCCAUAAAGCAGCUGACCCAAGUCUGUCCAGACCUAUAUUAAAAAGGUCUUGUGUAUAGCACAAGCUGUAAAUUGUUUUUUCCCCCCCCGUCUAUAGGACAUCCAUUACAAAACGAACAACCGCAGAACACUUCCAACCUACAAAUGGAAAAUGAAAUAAUAAUUGGUAAAUCUUCUGUUACAAACAUGUUCCAUGUCAUAUUACUGAGUACAUCACUAUUGUGAAGAUACAAGACUCAAUGGUGUACUGAAAUCCUCAAUGAACUGUGAAUUAUUGUAAUGAUGGAAUAAACAACUAAAGUGUGAA
ensembl:lncRNA